GGGUGCGUUGCUGCAUACGGCACAUCGCAGGUUAAUGCUCAAACGCUGGUCGGGCCGCUAGCG
rnacentral:ncRNA from 2 species